GACGAACGCUGGCGGCGUGCUUAACACAUGCAAGUCGAACGGAAAGGCCCUGCUUUUGUGGGGUGCUCGAGUGGCGAACGGGUGAGUAACACGUGAGUAACCUGCCCUUGACUUUGGGAUAACUUCAGGAAACUGGGGCUAAUACCGGAUAGGAGCUCCUGCUGCAUGGUGGGGGUUGGAAAGUUUCGGCGGUUGGGGAUGGACUCGCGGCUUAUCAGCUUGUUGGUGGGGUAGUGGCUUACCAAGGCUUUGACGGGUAGCCGGCCUGAGAGGGUGACCGGCCAAAUUGGGACUGAACUACGGCACGGCCGCCGACGGGAGGCAGCAGUGGGGAGUAUUGCACAAGGGGCGGAGGCCUGAUGCAGCAAUGCCGCGUGGGGGAUGACGGCGUUCGGGUAGUAAACCGCGUUCGCCUGUGACGAAGAGUGAGUGACGGUAAUGGGUAAAGAAGCACCGGCUAACUACGUG
rnacentral:rRNA from 1 species